rnacentral:rRNA from 1 species
UACGUAGGCGGCGCUGUCAGUCGGGUGUGAAAUCCCUCGGCUCAACCGAGGAAUUGCGCCCGAUACUGCAGUGCUUGAGGGAGACAGAGGUAAGCGGAACUGAUGGUGGAGCGGUGAAAUGCGUUGAUAUCAUCAGGAACACCAGUGGCGAAAGCGGCUUACUGGGUCUCUUCUGACGCUGAGGUACGAAAGCUAGGGGAGCGAAGG